AGUGAACGCUGGCGGUAGGCCUAACACAUGCAAGUCGAACGGCAGCACAGGAGAGCUUGCUCUCUGGGUGGCGAGUGGCGGACGGGUGAGGAAUACAUCGGAAUCUACUCUGUCGUGGGGGAUAACGUAGGGAAACUUACGCUAAUACCGCAUACGACCUACGGGUGAAAGCAGGGGACCUUCGGGCCUUGCGCGAUUGAAUGAGCCGAUGUCGGAUUAGCUAGUUGGCGGGGUAAAGGCCCACCAAGGCGACGAUCCGUAGCUGGUCUGAGAGGAUGAUCAGCCACACUGGAACUGAGACACGGUCCAGACUCCUACGGGAGGCAGCAGUGGGGAAUAUUGGACAAUAGGCGCAAGCCUGAUCCAGCCAUACCGCGUGGGUGAAGAUGGCCUUCGGGUUGUAAAGCCCUUUUGUUGGGAAAGAAAUCCAGCUGGCUAAUACCCGGUUGGGAUGACGGUACCCAAAGAAUAAGCACCGGCUAACUUCGUGCCAGCAGCCGCCGCCG
rnacentral:rRNA from 1 species